GAUGAAGAACGCAGCGAAAUGCGAUACUUGGUGUGAAUUGCAGAAUCCCGUGAACCAUCGUGUCUUUGAACGCAAGUUGCGCCUCAAGCCAUUAGGUUGAGGGCACGUCUGCCUGGGCGUCACAUAUCGUUGCCUGAUGCCAGUUUCCUCGUGAUGGGUGACUGUGCAGGGCGAAUGAUGGCUUCCCGUGAGCAUUGUUGCCUCAUGGUUGGUUGAAAAUUGAGUCCUUGGUAGGGAGCGCCGUGAUAGAUGGUGGUUGAGUGACGAACGAGACCCAAUCAUGUGAGACCCCUACCGAAUUUGGCCUUCAUGACCCACAUGCGUCUUUGGAACGCUCAUGACGAGACCUCAGGUCAGGCGGGGCUACCCGCUGAGUUUAAGCAUAUCAAUAAGCGGAGGA
rnacentral:misc_RNA from 1 species